rnacentral:rRNA from 1 species
AUUGAACGCUGGCGGCAUGCCUAACACAUGCAAGUCGAACGAGCGGCGAACGGGUGAGUAAUGUAUGGGGACUGCCCGAUAGAGGGGGAUAACUACUGGAAACGGUAGCUAAUACCCCAUACUAUCGGAUAACCCAUAUGGGAUUAGCUAGUAGGGGGGGUAAUGGCCGACCUAGGCGACGAUCCCUAGCUGGUCUGAGAGGAUGAUCAGCCACAUUGGGGCGGCGACGGGGCCCAGGCGCCUACGGAGGGAGCAGUGGGGAAUAUGGGGCAAUGGGCGGAAGCAUGAUGCAGCCAGGGCGAGUGUAUGAAGGAGGCCCUGGGGUUGUAAAGUACGUUCAGUCGGGAGACGUUACCGACAGAAGAAGCACCGGCUAACUACGUGCCAGCAGCCGCGGUAAUAC